UCAUCUUGGCAGGGUGCAAUGUGGUGUUCGGGAGGGUCCAUUCGUGCCUUGAGCUCUGGUGUCCAAGUCCCCCUGACCGGGGCCAUCGCCCGUUGAGGGUGCAAGGCCUGUUGGGCAGGGCUGUGUCUCCGAUCUCGGCACGUUGGGUCCCUUCCUUGGAGUCGGGUUGCUUGAGAGUGCAGCCCAAAGUGGGUGGUAAACUCCACCUAAGGCUAAAUACUUUCCACGAGACCGAUAGCAAACAAGUACCGUGAGGGAAAGUUGCAAAGAACUUUGAAGAGAGAGUUCAAGAGUGCGUGAAACCGUUCGGAGGUAAACGGGUGGGAGCGCGAAGGUCGAACGGACGGGGAGGGAUUCAACUUGGCGUGGCGGCUGGCCGAGCUGGUUCGCGUCUGGGCGUGCGGGCCUCCCUUUGCGGGGAGUGCCAGCCGUCCCGCGUUCUGCUCCGGUCGUAGUCCGCCGUGCCUUGUGCAUUUCCCUAUUCCCCCUCUCCUAGUAGGACGCCGCGACCGGCUGUCGAGGGGAGCCCAGGAGCUGGUUGGAGCAGUUGCGCGGACGAGCAAGGGAUUAGUUCUCUGCGUCCGGUCUGUCUGUCUCCUUCCGCCCGCGGGUCGCUCCCUCCGGCCGAGGAACUGUGCGAGCUGGGCCCUUGUGGUCCCUCGUCCAUGUGCGUGCCCACGAUCUGUCGGUGCGGGUCGAAAGAACCCAACGGGUGGCGGCGGGUGGCCGCGCGCCAGUCUCCGGACUGCGCGGCGAGUAGGUCGAGGCGGCGAGUAGGUCGGUUUCCCACCCGACCCGUCUUGAAACACGGACCAAGAAGUCUAACGUGUGGGCAAGUCUUCGGGGACUUUUUGAACCCUUAGAAGGCGAAAUAAAAGUGAAGGCUGGGUCGUCCUGUUCUCCCUCGGCCCUCGGGCAGUGGGAUGAGCGUGGGCGGCCUGCCCGAGUGGGAUCCCUCGUCUGAUGGCGGGGGCGCACCACU
rnacentral:rRNA from 1 species